UUGACCUAAAAAGUCCUUUGAAUAAUAUCGCCAGUCUGCUAUUUAUAGAAAUAUUGGUACAUUAAAAACAUGAGACUAUAUAUAUCUCCACCUCUAUUGUGUUUUUUCAAGAGAUGAGUGUGAGUAGCAGCAAGAUGGUUCACACGUACAAGGCCUUAUCUCUCAUCCUUUUCAUCGCUCUCUUAAUUUCGGUUGAACUGGCUCCAAUAUUGGAAGCCAAAACAAACAAUAUCCCAGCCAGCGUGUGGGGAAGGCACAGCGGCGGAGAAUUCAAAGGAAAUAAGAUACCUGCUCCUGUUCAUCUUUCACCAGGCGGCCCACAAGGCGGAGGCAGCUAUAACUGCCCCGGCUGUGGAAGAGGCCGAUGAAGGGUACUAGAACCAUCAAUAUAUAGCGUCAGGACCUUUGUGACAGUUCAUGGGGGGAUAAUUUUUGAAAGUUUCGCAGGCCAAUAUCUGCGCUAGCUUACAUAUAUGUUUUUAUGUCACAAUUUAGAGGGUUUGUUGUUUCGUUUCUGCAUGUUUUUGUUUCAUGAAAAUUAGAAGCCUAAGAAUAUAUGGACUAUGUUGCCAUCAAUAAGCCUAUGUGUUAAGCACGAAUUCCUCCCCAGCCCUCCCCCACUGGCCGGGACAAUAUAUCUUGAUCGUGCGCAUCUUGGCUGGUGGAUUGUGGAGGCAUGAAUUCCCAUGUCAACCUCUCUAGCUAGCUAGCUAGCUUGAUCAUGUAAAAAAAGGUUAUGAUUGGAUGAAUUAACGAAUCUAAUCCAGAACACAUGCAUGCCCUUUCUUUGACAAGUUUACUCCUUUUCUUUUCUAACAAGUCAUUUUCUCGAUUGAAUCUUAUCCAUUGCAUCCCGCUGAAACGCGGUAAGGUAUAUAAGGUCGAGUGUAAAAGCUGAACCAAAUGUGAAUGCUCUCUCCUUGUUUCCA